UUGUGUGCUUCUCUCCCUUGUUUCCACCAAUCGAAAAUCCCUUCUCCUUACAAGCCCUACAUCCGGUUGACGCAGAAGCAGGUUCAAUUCUUCUCUUCGGUUACUCAAAGAUAUGUUGUUCAUAUACCUUUUCUCCAUCCACACCCGCUACCUUCUUCUAUCUGGAGCCGUCAACACUAUACGUCUCUGUUUCUUCCUCUCAUACCGACGAUUUAGGGCAAAUUCUUAACCAUCUUCAGCCCGUCUACCCUCAACCGAUUCCUCCACCUUCUUCACAUUAUACGUGUAUGUUCUCUCAUAUAUCCUACAUCAAAUUCAUCCUCCCAAGUUCUAGGGCUUUUUGUUCGGGACCUCACAAAAGCAAACCAAACCAGAGCAUGGGUGGACGAUUGAUAACCUAGAUAUGUCGACUUUGCCAUCAUUUACCGGCUUCCCCAUCAUCAUCUAUAUGCUAGAGUUGCAGAGCCGGCCCAGGCCAUGUGCGACCUGGGCGACAUCCAAGGACAUCACUCUUGAAGGGGCAUAAAGUUUUGAUCCAGUCCAUAAGGUAUAAUAUGUGAAUUUUAUCCCAAUCUAUGGAGCUUAUGGAUCUGAGCUUAUAGGAGGAUUGGAGCGUCUACUAUGAAGGCACAUGUUAGUAAACAUAUAAAAUUGAUGGCAUCUCGAAGCCUAUUACAGGAUACGAGGAGACUUAAGAGAGUUCUAUUGGUGAUAAAUACGAUCAUUACAAGGAAACACACAUUAUUGACACCCUAGACACACUUUCUAUGAGCAAAGGAGGACAAAAUUGCCUUAGCUACUCUUCAUUUGCCUUUUGUCUUUGACUCUAUUACUCUAUAUAUGUGUUAGGGAAACUUGCAUUAGUAGUACAAAAUCGUUCGUUGUUCCCUGCUUAUGACUUUUAGCUUUGGCUUAGGAAAUCAAAUUGACAAAACGAGCCACUACAUCUGCUAUUUUGACUUAGUUCUCAGAGAGCUCAAGUCACAAUCUCUUGAGGUACACAUUCCUUCAAUGUUUUUGGCCUGGAUUUGACAGAUCUUGACAUUGGGCAUAUGGAUUAUCUCAAUGAUUCACAAUGCAUAUGUUUUUUAUCGGAUGAUAUGAGACAAAUAACUAAGAUUAUUCAGAGCAUUUUGCAAUGUGCAUUGGACUUUGGAUCUUUUGUUGUGCCAAACAAAUCAGUUGUCAACAUUGCUCAGGUCAUUUCUACUAUCUUCAUUUAUUAAUUAUUUUUUAUUUUUAUAUUAUUAGUGAUUAAACAAAGCAUAAAGCAAUUUCCUUCAAUUACAAUCACCAUUUUUCAGAUGUUAUUAAUAAAGAAAUGGGCCACCAUAUUCUUUCCUUCUAAAUCUCUUAUUAUAUCAAGUUUUUUCAUAUGUAUGUGGUUUUUGAUUGAUGGCGUUUUUUUGUAUGUAACUAAUUGUGGUUUCUUAUAACAUGUCUUGUGUAUUUUCCUACUUUUGUAAUUAACAAUGGAUAAAAUUAGAUGUGUGUUGACUCUUUUUGCUAAAACAUGGAUGAGGUAUAUAUGAACUUGCUGGAACAAGGUGCAUUGUUAAGGCCAACCACUUUUUUCUGAACUGCCUGAUAAGGAUUUACACCAAUAUGACCUACCGUGGUGUGAAUCGGGCUGUGAUGGCACAGUUGGUGAAACUGUACAAAGACUCUCAUCUUGGGAAGUGGCUACCUGCUUAUGAUGGAAGAAAGAGUCUUUAUACUGGAAGCCCUCUUCCCUUUCUACACAAGAUUUACGCCCAAUUUCUCCACCAGAGAAGACUAAAGAGGAGAUUCUACUUUUUCUUCUAACUUUAUGAUCCCUUUAAGGAGGAACUUCGGUUGUACGCUUUCGUUCACUGGAGAAGCCUAAGGAUGUUGAGUUUUCACUAGAAUUGUGAGUUCAUGAGUUUUCACUAGAAUUGCAUUAUCUACCGGUCGAUGUUUCUUUUCUUUCCACCAUCACCACCACGUCAAUUAACAACUUCUAAGCAGAUGUCAAUGUUGAGAUGGAAGAGAUUUGCUCUUGUUGUAGCAAUGUGCAUUCUAGUUGUAAGAAUUGUAAUAGUUCAAACUUGCAUUUUAUAUACACAUUCAGGUAAUUACUUUUCUACCCCUUUUACCCUCUAAAAUUUUUACGUAACAACUUAUAUGUAUUUUUACUAAUAAUAAAAAAAUCCCUUCAAAUUCAAAUGUAACCAUUUUUAUUGGAGAAAGAUAAUAGUAGUUCUUAAUUUCUUAUCAUUCUUAAUGGUGUUUUCAGAGCUGUUGCGGGUGAUUAGACGAUUAAGUGUUCACUAAAUUUUUCUUUAAACUGAAUCAAGCAACUGUGAGAUCAUCUAUUUUGGAUGUUCUUUUGGAGAUAACAAAAUUAUGUGACCUUUAUCUCAUGGAAACAAUCUUAGAUGAUGAAAGUGAGAUGUUAUAAUUUAUAUAUUUACUUAUAUUGUGGGUCCCAUUUAAAUACCAAUCAAGAUUAAUCAUAAAUUUGGUAAUUAUUAAUUUUUUGUUAUCUUGUUGGCUAAUUGAUACUAUUAUUUGUUGUAGAAAAAGGUUUUAAUUGCAUUAGAAAAUGCUGGGAUUUUUACAUCAGGUGGUUUGGUUAAAGACAAGGUAAAAAGUAAAACUAAUAUUCCUUGUUUGAUAUGUAUAUAUGUUUGUGUGUAGGCUGGUGUCAAAAAGCUUGCAUUAGAAAAUGAUGGGAUUUUUAUAUCAAGUGGUUUGGUUAUAAUAAAUGUUUUCAUCGGCUGCAAGAGAUGCUGGAGCCCUUACACAACCUAAGGACAAACUGGAGAAGUGAGUUGAAGAGCUGACAGGGAGAUUAGACUUUGAAUACCUCCCAUUUGAGGGUAUAAUUUUUUAUAUUUCUUGUAUCUAAUUACUUUGGAAAUUUUUGUUACAACUAUUGAUUUGUUUUAUCUUUCCAUAGAACGAUUAUUUGUAUGAUAUUAAAUUUUAUACAAUGGAUUGUAUUUUUUGUA